GGGCUCGUAGCUCAGCCGGUCAGAGCGCACGCCUGAUAAGCGUGAGGUCGGUGGUUCAAGUCCACCCGAGCCCA
rnacentral:tRNA from 1 species